rnacentral:lncRNA from 10 species
CAAGAGGUCUUGCUGGAUGGCAUUGCCUUGGUGCUUUUUCAACCUCGGUCCAGGCUGGACUUUGAGUCUUGCAGUCUCGGAAACUGGAUCUGUUCAGUGUCCCAGAACCAGUCAGAGUCAGGAGGCUGACUCGUGCUGAUUACCUCACGGGAGCCUGAUGUAUGAAAACCAGGAUGCUGUUUGAUAAUGAGAAAUAGAACUAUGACACCGUUUAUAUUGGCCUGACCACCACAUUCCCUCCCUUUAAUAAUGUGCAGCCUCACUACAUACCAGGUGCUGUUUGCUUUGUACACUAACUCUAUGAAGUAGGCACUAUUGCUAAUCCCAUUGGAAAGAUGGAGAAACUGACAAGUCUGCUGUGUCCAUGUUGGCCUCACUGAUUCUCUCUUUUCUCCACUUCCAUGGCUUACUGGCACAUUCUUUCCUUACAUAUGUCAAAAUCAUCAAACGACUUAUAGACAAGACUUGCCAGUGGAAGGCAUUAUGUUUCAUGAAGGCCUUUGGAGUGGGUUGAACAGUGCCCUCCACCCCCACAAAAGAUAUGUCCACCUAGAACCUGCCAAUGCGAUAUUAUUUGGAAAAAGAGUCUUUGCAGCUGUAGUUAAGGAUCUGGAGAUGAAAUCCAGUCAGACUUUCCAACCGGGCCCUAAAUCUAAUGAUGAGCAUCCUUAUAGGAAGAGGACAGGGCACACAAGAAGAAGGUAGUGAUGUGAAGACCCAGGUGGAGAUGGGAGUGAUGCAUUUACUAGCCAAAGAACACCAAGGAUUGCCAGCAGCCACCAGGAGCUAGAAAAAAGGCAUGGAAUGGAUUGACCCUCAGUGCUUUCAGAAGGAACCAAUCCUGCUGACACCUUGAUUUAGGACUUCUGGCCACCAGACUGUGAGAGAAUAAUUUUCUGUUGUAAGCCACCCAGUUUGUGGUAAUGUGUUGCAGCAGCCCUAAGAAAUGAAUAAAGUCAACCCUGUCUCUACUAAAAGUACAAAAAUUAGCCGGGCAUGGUGGCGCACAUCUGUAAUCCCAGCUACUCUGGAGACUGAGGAACAAGAAUCGCUUGAACCCGGGAGGCGGAGGUUGCAGUGAAUCGAGAUCAUGCCACUGCACUCCAGCCUGGGUGAUAGAGUGAGAUUCUCUCUCUCUCUCUAAAUAAAUAAAUAAAUAAAAGUCUUCUUGCCCCC